CGCCGCCGACCCGUGCCGAGCCGUCCCCGCGCCUUCUCCCCCUCGCGGCCGAUCUGCCCUAAUCGCAGCGGGCGGUUUCCUUCUUCUUCUUCCGCGUGUGUAACGUCGAGACCAAGAGAAGCCGACAUUUCUCUUCUCCUUCUUCCUUCCUGAGCCAGUUCCAUUUCCUUCCCCUCUUCCUCUAGAGAGCUUCGCCGCCGCAUGGGACCAGCACUGGUCACCUCCACACCGUGCCCUAGCACCUUUUGCCUCUCACGGUGACGACACCCACUGCUGAUCCAGCGGGUCAAUUUCCCCUUUUGCCCUAGCGUCGUGCCCUAGAUUGGGUCCACCUGAUCGCCGGCGCCAGCCAAGGUGUAGCCAAUAGAAGCCGAGCACCCCAGGUCUUUUGGUUCUGUGCCCUAUUUGUCGACCGACCGAAGCUUCUCUUCAUCUUCUUCCUGAGCCCUAGCACUGACCAUCUUUUUCCUCUGCCCUACCUCUACCUUAGCACCAGCAACUAUCUCCAAUACAGAGUUGAUGAGUUUGUUAAUCAAGUUGUGUGAGAUAUGUUCUCAGCAGUAAGUUGCCUUUGUUGUGGAUCUGUUGGGCUAUCAGGAAUUUCUGCUAUAGAUAGAAGAAGGAACGGACUGUGAUGCGAGACGAGUAUCUCGAUGUCAUAUUUGGACCGAUUGGACCUUUCUU